UUAAACUAAAACAAAAACAUGGAGCUUUUUAAAUGGGAAAGGCCAAUAAUGAUAAAGGAAAAGGAAAUAAAAUUUAAAUAACUACAGUACAAGUGGAGGCAUAGAUGUAUAACCAAUAGAAUGGGAAUAAAUGAAAUCAAUGCAGUUCAAGCCUGAGUUCAUAACAUGUUUGAAGUGGAUCAAAGAACUAAAUUAUUUUUAAAAAUUGAAAACUGGGCUAGGGAUUUAGCUCAGCAGUGUAAGCACCUGCCUGGCAAGCGUGAGGUUAUGAAUUCGAUCCCUGGUACCAAAACUAGAUAAAUAAAUAAAAUAAAAAUUGAGAACUAUAAAACAUCUGAAGGAAGGAAUAAGAGAGAACUUUAUGGCCUUGGGGUGGGCAGUAAUUUCUUGGCCCAUUCCUUUCUAUGACCCUAUUUCUGUCUUUUGAAAUGUGUGAAGGAAUCCGACCAUUGGCAUCCUGGUCUAAGCAGAGACCAUUUUAAAUCUCUUCCCUGAUGUACGUUUGUUUAUUUGUUUGUUUGUUUGUUUGAGUCUGGGUCUCACUAUGUAGCCCAGACUGGCCUCAAACUCAUGGUGAUCCUCCUGCCUCAGCCUCCCAAGUUCUGGUAUUACAGACAUGCACCACCAUGGCCAGCCUCUGCCAUGCCUUCAUACCUGCUACAGAUUUAUAGUCCUGAGUCAAUAAGGCCCAGUAAACACAGCUGCACCAUAUCAUUCCCAAUCGUCGUUCAGUCCUGCUCUUGACAAACAACAUAAAACUCCUUGUAUGUUCCCACCUGUCUUGGGUGGAUAACCACAACUAUGUCCUGAGCUCUCUGCCUCAAAAGUCCCACUGUGACUCUUCCUUCAACAGCUUCCUCCACCCACACCCCUUUUUUUAAACACUCACAACCCUAUAAAAGAUCAUACAAUCUGUCCGUGGCAUUGAGAAGCAGAAGAGGGAGAAUGGAGGCCAGUAAGCCGCAUGCAUAGAAAUAUGCCACUGCCCACACUGACACAGGAAGACUCCAUACUUUGCAGGCUGCCAAUUCAGCCCUUUGGGGGUUGGCAUAGGGAACAGAAUGGGUACACUUUCAUCUGAACUGUGACUGAAGCAGUCCAGAGAUCCAUGUGGAGGUGGCAUCUAACAAAAGGCUCUGGAUGUGAUAGCAGCUUUCGUGUCCACUGCCACAGCUGAAGAAUUGCAAUACAGUGGCCCUGGCCAUUGUGUGACACAGUGGCCCCUGAUCAUCUUUUCAAGAAGCACAUGAGUAAUGGGAACAUAGGUCUGCCUUUUCUCUUUCAGGUUGUGCAUGGAGGUGACAGGGACUCACUCACUGGAGAUAGUGAACUGGAGAACAAGUUCUACGCAAGACAGCAGCUAACAAUAGCUCUCUAUGGCUGAUCCUAUUGUUAUUCCCACUUUACAGGCCAGGAUGGGAAGGGGAGCUGCCUCUGCCUGGUGACCAAAUCCAUUCCAGUUACAGACCACCCGGGUGAUGAGCCCUCUGAAUGUGUGGUUCCGUGGCUGCCAUCCCAUGGCUGGGGAAAAGCAAGGCUUGUUGAGGGUGGAGGCCAGCGCGUGGGGCCACCGAGGAAGGACCAGGAAGCCAGUGGAAUAUAAGCGUGGCCUGUCAGCCCAGUGUGAGCCGGUUCUGUGGCAGCCUCCUCCACGACAGGGGGCGGGAAUGCUCCAGCUGUUCCCUCCCUGGCACCUUCCAUUAAGGCCUUGUUUUGUUUUUUUUUUAGUAAAUAAGGGCCCUAUUUUUCUACUUUAGUCUUUUAAAAUCAACCUGAGAAACACUGCAGAAGCGGAUGUAUCUGUAGUUCUCUGCCCACAUUUAGCUUCAGGGGUAUGGUCUGAAAUCUUAUCUCCCCAGGGACCUUCCUAGACACAGUGAGACCCCUACCAGAGGGAGGCAUCUGUGGCCUGAAUUAUGCCUAGAGGAUUUGGGGAGGGGGGUUAGUAGUGUUUUAUAAGUUGGUUUUCAUAUCAAAAUCCUGUUUUCUGGCUUCUCCUUAAAAAAAAAUUAGAAAACCUAGGCACACUGAGCUGUGCGUGUUCCUUAGGGUAAGUGCCUGGUGCUGAAUCAUAGUCGCUGUCUUUGCGACUGUUUUGUGGUUCAUCACAGUCUCCACCACUCCCCGUCAUUUCCCUUAUAAUCUCUUAAGAGCAGGUAUAAACUAAAAGGCAGAUAUCAGUCUAUGGGUUCCAGCCUUGGCCCACUGCUUACUUCCUGUGGCCCCCGACAUGUGUUCACCUCUUUUUGAGGCCUGUUUUUAAUACUUAGAAAGAAAAGCAUAAUGAGAUGAUGUGUGUGGAGCGCUCCAGAGCCUGGCGUAGAAGAAGCCCUUGCUGAGGAUUUGCCACGCGAGCUUAUUGGUGUACACUCUCAUUUCCUGCCAAAUAAAGUAAAACUAAAUAUUUUAGUUAUUCAUA